rnacentral:misc_RNA from 1 species
GUCAUUUAGAGGAAGGUGAAGUCGUAACAAGGUUUCCGUAGGUGAACCUGCGGAAGGAUCAUUACCAUAAUACCAAAACCAAAAACACCUUACGAAGAGGAAACGUGAAGUUCGUGUAUACGUCUUUGCGUCAGUACUCUUUGUACGUUUCGUGAUACUUAACAACUAUCAUUAUUCCUUUAUGCUUCCUUAGCGAUGUAAAAGCCUUUGGCUUUUGAAGUCAUUGAAGAUACAACACCAUUAACCAGAGAACUCUGUCGAAAUCUGUCAGUCAUGACAUGAUUAUCAUAUAAUCAAUGACCAAACAGUUUCAGCAACGAAUGUCUAGGUUCCUA